AUUGAACGCUGGCGGCAGGUUUAACACAUGCAAGUCGAACGAGCGGCGGACGGGUGAGUAAUGUCUGGGAAACUGCCUGAUGGAGGGGGAUAACUACUGGAAACGGUAGCUAAUACCGCAUACCAUCAGAUGUGCCCAGAUGGGAUGAGCUAGUGGGGGGGGUAAUGGCUCACCUAGGCGACGAUCCCUAGCUGGUCUGAGAGGAUGACCAGCCACACGGGAACUGAGACACGGUCCAGACUCCUACGGGAGGCAGCAGUGGGGAAUAUUGCACAAUGGGCGCAAGCCUGAUGCAGCCAUGCCGCGUGUAUGAAGAAGGCCUUAGGGUUGUAAAGUACUUUCAGCGGGGAGGCGUUACCCGCAGAAGAAGCACCGGCUAACUCCGUGCCAGCAGCCGCGGUAAUAC
rnacentral:rRNA from 1 species